UUCAGGCUGAUUUCAAAGCCACUCUGUAGGCACUAGGCACUCCUGGUAAUGCCGCUUAGGAUCACCCGAGCGCCAUCGAGAUGCCGGCUUUCAAUGAGAGGACUUGAUACAGGCUGAUUGAGUCUGACAACCCAAGUUGACUAAAGAAUGGAACCCAGGACAUUCACACUCAGCUGUCAAGAUAAUGACUCCCUUAGGAUUCCUGGCAACAGCAUCUUUCCAGUCUGCCAUCAGAAACGCUGCAGGUUUUAGUCUGCCUGCCACCCCCUAUUGCAUAGACCAGUGUCCAAAUGCUAUUCCAUAUGUUAACUUCCCAAAAUACAAAUCAUAAUAGAGAUUUAUAUGACAAUGUAUCACCCCCUUUCCUUCCUCCCAUCCCAGAUGUCACAGGCAACAAAUAAAAAUGGCUUAUUUCCCUUUCAGUCAA